AUCCUUUUUCUCGAUCAAAAUUCCAUUUUCAACAUAUUUUACCUUUAAGAUCUCGAUCUAUGGCGAUUUCAUAGUGGUUUUAGAGAUUUCUUCCAUGGAUAAGUUUAUAAAUUUUUAUUCCAUUAUUUUUCAUUAAUUUUAUCUUCAAAACAAACAACUUCAAAUUCUUGAUUUCAAAAGGCAAAUUUUUUUGGAGGGGGUGG
rnacentral:lncRNA from 1 species